rnacentral:misc_RNA from 1 species
GCCUAAGGUAACUCCCUUCAAUGAUUCUUUCUGGAGAACUUGGGUUCCGGAUGAUGAACACUUUGAAUCAAGUGAGGGGUCAAAGAAAGUGUAUUCUAGUGGAAGAAUUAAGUAUCAAGAAGGUGGGGCAAGUCGUGAAGUUUGUCCUGAUAAUGUCUACAACUCUGCCCGAGUGAUCAAGAGUACGAAUUCUUCGAUUCCGAACACGAAUAUGACAUGGACCUUCCCUGCUAUUGAU